UAAUACGGAGGGUGCAAGCGUUAAUCGGAAUUACUGGGCGUAAAGAGUACGUAGGCGGCUUUUCAAGUCGGGUGUGAAAUCCCUGAGCUUAACUCAGGAACUGCAUUCGAUACUGGAUCGCUAGAGUAUAUUAGAGGAUAGUGGAAUUUCAAGUGUAGCGGUGAAAUGCGUAGAUAUUUGAAGGAACACCAAUGGCGAAGGCAGCUAUCUGGAACAAUACUGACGCUGAGGUACGAAAGCGUGGGGAGCAAACAGGAUUAGAUACCCUGGUAGUCCACGCCGUAAACGAUGAGAACUAGACGUUGGAUAUUUAUAUCUAGUGUCGCAGCUAACGCAUUAAGUUCUCCGCCUGGGGAGUACGGCCGCAAGGUUG
rnacentral:rRNA from 1 species